rnacentral:rRNA from 1 species
AAAAGUGAAAGACGGUCUUGCUGUCACUUAUAGAUGGAUCCGCGCUGCAUUAGCUAGUUGGUAAGGUAACGGCUUACCAAGGCAACGAUGCAUAGCCGACCUGAGAGGGUGAUCGGCCACACUGGAACUGAGACACGGUCCAGACUCCUACGGGAGGCAGCAGUAGGGAAUCUUCCGCAAUGGGCGAAAGCCUGACGGAGCAACGCCGCGUGAGUGAUGAAGGUCUUCGGAUCGUAAAACUCUGUUAUUAGGGAAGAACAUAUGUGUAAGUAACUGUGCACAUCUUGACGGUACCUAAUCAGAAAGCCACGGCUAACUACGUGCCAGCAGCCGCGGUAAUACGUAGGUGGCAAGCGUUAUCCGGAAUUAUUGGGCGUAAAGCGCGCGUAGGCGGUUUUUUAAGUCUGAUGUGAAAGCCCACGGCUCAACCGUGGAGGGUCAUUGGAAACUGGAAAACUUGAGUGCAGAAGAGGAAAGUGGAAUUCCAUGUGUAGCGGUGAAAUGCGCAGAGAUAUGGAGGAACACCAGUGGCGAAGGCGACUUUCUGGUCUGUAACUGACGCUGAUGUGCGAAAGCGUGGGGAUCAAACAGGAUUAGAUACCCUGGUAGUCCACGCCGUAAACGAUGAGUGCUAAGUGUUAGGGGGUUUCCGCCCCUUAGUGCUGCAGCUAACGCAUUAAGCACUCCGCCUGGGGAGUACGACCGCAAGGUUGAAACUCAAAGGAAUUGACGGGGACCCGCACAAGCGGUGGAGCAUGUGGUUUAAUUCGAAGCAACGCGAAGAACCUUACCAAAUCUUGACAUCCUUUGACAACUCUAGAGAUAGAGCUUUCCCCUUCGGGGGACAAAGUGACAGGUGGUGCAUGGUUGUCGUCAGCUCGUGUCGUGAGAUGUUGGGUUAAGUCCCGCAACGAGCGCAACCCUUAAGCUUAGUUGCCAUCAUUAAGUUGGGCACUCUAAGUUGACUGCCGGUGACAAACCGGAGGAAGGUGGGGAUGACGUCAAAUCAUCAUGCCCCUUAUGAUUUGGGCUACACACGUGCUACAAUGGACAAUACAAAGGGCAGCGAAACCGCGAGGUCAAGCAAAUCCCAUAAAGUUGUUCUCAGUUCGGAUUGUAGUCUGCAACUCGACUACAUGAAGCUGGAAUCGCUAGUAAUCGUAGAUCAGCAUGCUACGGUGAAUACGUUCCCGGGUCUUGUACACACCGCCCGUCACACCACGAGAGUUUGUAACACCCGAAGCCGGUGGAGUAACCUUUUAGGAGCUAGCCGUCGAAGGUGGGACAAAUGAUUGGGGUGAAGUCGUAACAAGGUAGCCGUAUCGGAAGGUGCGGCUGGAUCACCUCCUUUCUAAGGA